rnacentral:lncRNA from 1 species
AAAGUUCAACUAUAAUUAGGGGUUUCCGUGAGUGCAUUUUAUUCUUUACUUUUCAAAAGGGUUAAUUUUAUAUAGUUUUCUACAAAUGUAAUAAAUUGCAAAUAUAUUAUUACAAAGUUCAACUUUUAUAUUUUAUUCUUACAAAAGUCCUGAUAUUUUUAAAUAUAUCCCUACCGUUAGAAAAAUUUAGUCAACAUAGAUUAAAUAUUUAAUCCUGAUUAGUUGAUGAUAUGAAUUGACUUUUUUACCCCUCUUUAAUUAACAAUUGGGAUGUUUGAAGGGAUAUAUUUGUGAUGGUAAAAAGAUUAAUUUACUUAUAAAAUAGACGAUAAUUUAACGGUAACAAAUAAGAAAAAUAUAUUUAAAAAUAUUACAUUAACAUUAUAUUAUAUAAAAAUUAAAUUUUAUUAAAAAUAUAUUUGUAAUU